UUCUCUUUUGGCUACUGUUUGCAGAGAAUAUCUUUUUUCAUUCUUUUACGUUCAACUGAUUUAUAUCUUUGAAUCUAGUGAGUCACCUGUAAAUUCAUAGUUCAAUCAGGGUGUGAGAAAUCCAUGAGGUUUGAUAAGUAAAUCUAUCAAAGCUCUGGAUCUCUAUUGUGUGCUUCCAUUUAUAUAAAGUACAGGAAUAGGCACAGGUGACCUGCACUGACACACUCAGGGAGUUAUCCCUGGGAGGAGUGGGUGCACAGAGUAUGAGGGUUUUGGGGGGCUGCCCUCAGUUGCUUCUCAUUUGGAUGGUGGCUGCUCGUGUUCAGUUUGCAAAAAUCUAGCCAGAGGAUACUUGUUUGUGUUGGACACUUGUUUGCAUUCUUAUGUAUGUGUGCUGUACUUUACUAACAUGUGAGGCUAAAUAAAACAAAUCUGGAUUCUUGAGAUUGAGAUGAACAAAUGGGAUGCUGGUGUAUGUGUGUGAUCGAUUCCUAUUGUUCUCUCCUAGUAGGCCCAUGCAGGAGUGUGCUCACAGUACCCAUGCAGGGAGGCCUUUUCUGGGCGUGAGGCACUGUGGCACUGCCUCUUCCUGUUUAGGGGGAGGAGCUCUGUGGGGAAUGGGGGGCCGUUACCCCUGGGACCUGGUCUUACAAAGGUGAAGUCACAGGAGCCAUCGUGCUUGCCCACAAGAAACCUGACAAAAUGACAACACACAGACCUUACAGUUCUGCUGUCUGGCCACAGCUGAAAGGACAGAGGCCAGGCCGUGGCCUGGCUCCCAGAGCUUGAUUAUAAUGACAGCGCUAGAGCCGCAUUAGCAACACUCGUCGACUGGGCAUCUGCCACAUGCUGGACACCUAGGGCUGGAAGAAACAUCGUAACCGCUGAGCAAGGAACUGCAGUCCUCAACCUGUAGAAGAGAAACUGAGGCUCAGAGAGGGUGAACGUGCUUUUGAGAUGAUGACAAACAGGUAACUCUUUUACGUGGAUCUAUUCAUUCCUGGGAUCAGUGAGCAGGAGUUUGGACAGCAAAGGAUGCCAUGUUACCCAAAUCUCUGCUUUCUGGACAGGAUGGUGAAGGCAACGUGCUCUCACUGCUAAGGUAC